rnacentral:rRNA from 1 species
AGCGAACGCUGGCGGCAGGCCUAACACAUGCAAGUCGAACGAACUCUUCGGAGUUAGUGGCGGACGGGUGAGUAACACGUGGGAACGUGCCUUUUGGUUCGGAAUAACUCAGGGAAACUUGUGCUAAUACCGAAUGUGCCCUUCGGGGGAAAGAUUUAUCGCCAUUAGAGCGGCCCGCGUCUGAUUAGCUAGUUGGUGAGGUAACGGCUCACCAAGGCGACGAUCAGUAGCUGGUCUGAGAGGAUGACCAGCCACACUGGGAAUGAGACACGGCCCAGACUCCUACGGGAGGAAGCAGUAGGGAAUCUUGCGCAAUGGGCGAAAGCCUGACGCAGCCAUGCCGCGUGAAUGAUGAAGGUCUUAGGAUUGUAAAAUUCUUUCACCGGGGACGAUAAUGACGGUACCCGGAGAAGAAGCCCCGGCUAACUUCGUG